rnacentral:rRNA from 1 species
AAAUUGAAGAGUUUGAUCAUGGCUCAGAUUGAACGCUGGCGGCAGGCCUAACACAUGCAAGUCGAACGGUAACAGGAAGCGCUUGCUGCUUCGCUGACG